GACGAACGCUGGCGGCGCGCCUAACACAUGCAAGUCGAACGAGAGAGAGGAAGCUUGCUUCCUUAAUCGAGUGGCGAACGGGUGAGUAACGCGUGAGGAACCUGCCUCAAAGAGGGGGACAACAGUUGGAAACGACUGCUAAUACCGCAUAAGCCCACAGCUCGGCAUCGAGCAGAGGGAAAAGGAGUGAUCCGCUUUGAGAUGGCCUCGCGUCCGAUUAGCCAGUUGGCGGGGUAACGGCCCACCAAAGCGACGAUCGGUAGCCGGACUGAGAGGUUGAACGGCCACAUUGGGACUGAGACACGGCCCAG
rnacentral:rRNA from 1 species